rnacentral:misc_RNA from 1 species
AGCAGCCGCGGUAAUUCCAGCUCCAAUAGCGUAUAUUAAAGUUGUUGCAGUUAAAAAGCUCGUAGUUGAAUUUUGGGUCUGGCCGGGCGGUCCGCCCUCUGGGUGAGCACUGUUCCGACGCCGGGCCUAUCCUUCUGGUGAGUCGGCAUGUCCUUUAUUGGGUGUGCCGGGGAACCAGGACCAUUACCUUGAAAAAUUAGAGUGUUCAAAGCAGGCGUAUGCUCGGAUACAUUAGCAUGGAAUAAUGAAAUAGGACGCGUGGUGCUAUUUUGUUGGUUUCUAGAACCGCCGUAAUGAUUAAUAGGGAUAGUUGGGGGCAUUAGUAUUCAAUUGUCAGAGGUGAAAUUCUUGGAUUUAUUGAAGACUAACUUCUGCGAAAGCAUUUGCCAAGGAUGUUUUCAUUAAUCAAGAACGAAAGUUAGGGGAUCGAAGACGAUCAGAUACCGUCGUAGUCUUAACCAUAAACUAUGCCGACUAGGAAUCGGGCGAUGUUAUUCUCAUGACUCGCCCGGCG